UUAAAGGCGUGUGCCACCACCGCCCGGCAAUUUUCCUGUAUUUUUAAAGUACAAGUUUAGAGUUUUUAGAAAAGUAUUUGAAAUCUUGACCUUUGAUAUUUUUUGUUUUAUUUAUAUUGAUUUGUACUGUAUUUAAAGUCAGAGAUACUUUGUCUCUACGGUUGUGACGUCUACAUGAGACUGUUCCAGAGACAACACAAACUCAUCCACUGGUUGUAUUACUUUAAAGCUGUGUUAGUGAGGGGAAAAUCCUAAGUUUGUCUGAUUGUUGAGUAGAAAGUAGACAAAGCAGUUUGCAACAAACGACAAGAUUUCAGCAGACUGCACAGUGUUUACAGAUGGUAGUUUGAAAGUUUCAUUCAGGAAGGAGUCUCUAUUAAAGACUCAGAGUAAAGAUCAUAAGGACAGGCGGUGGAGCUCAGUAAUAGAGUAUUUGUAUAAGGAGGGAGGUAGUACUCAGUGAUAGAGUGCUUAUAUACAAAGGAGGGAGGUAGUACUCAGUGAUAGAGUGCUUAUAUACAAAGGAGGGAGGUAGUACUCAGUGAUAGAGUGCUUAUAUACAAAGGAGGGAGGUAGUACUCAGUGAUAGAGUGCUUGUAUACAAAGGAGGGAGGUAGUACUCAGUGAUAGAGUGCUUGUAUACAAAGGAGGGAGGUAGUACUCAGUGAUAGAGUGCUUAUAUACAAAGGAGGGAGGUAGUACUCAGUGAUAGAGUGCUUAUAUACAAAGGAGGGAGGUAGUACUCAGUGAUAGAGUGCUUAUAUACAAAGGAGGGAGGUAGUACUCAGUGAUAGAGUGCUUAUAUACAAAGGAGGGAGGUAGUACUCAGUGAUAGAGUGCUUAUAUACAAAGGAGGGAGGUAGUACUCAGUGAUAGAGUGCUUAUAUACAAAGGAGGGAGGUAGUACUCAGUGAUAGAGUGCUUAUAUACAAAGGAGGGAGGUAGUACUCAGUGAUAGAGUGCUUAUAUACAAAGGAGGGAGGUAGUACUCAGUGAUAGAGUGCUUAUAUACAAAGGAGGGAGGUAGUACUCAGUGAUAGAGUGCUUAUAUACAAAGGAGGGAGGUAGUACUCAGUGAUAGAGUGCUUAUAUACAAAGGAGGGAGGUAGUACUCAGUGAUAGAGUGCUU